rnacentral:rRNA from 1 species
GAUGAACGCUGGCGGCGUGCCUAACACAUGCAAGUCGAGCGAUCUUCUUCGGAAGAGAGCGGCGGACGGGUGAGUAACGCGUGGGUAACCUGCCCUGUACACACGGAUAACAUACCGAAAGGUAUGCUAAUACGGGAUAACAUACUUUUAUCGCAUGGUAGAAGUAUCAAAGCUCCGGCGGUACAGGAUGGACCCGCGUCUGAUUAGCUAGUUGGUAAGGUAACGGCUUACCAAGGCGACGAUCAGUAGCCGACCUGAGAGGGUGAUCGGCCGCAUUGGAACUGAGACACGGUCCAAACUCCUACGGGAGGCAGCAGUGGGGAAUAUUGCACAAUGGGCGAAAGCCUGAUGCAGCAACGCCGCGUGAGCGAUGAAGGCCUCCGGGUCGUAAAGCUCUGUCCUCAAGGAAGAUAAUGACGGUACUUGAGGAGGAAGCCCCGGCUAACUACGUGCCAGCAGCCGCAGUAACAC